AGAUGAAGACAUUUCAUCUCUACUCUCUGAGGAUAGAAGAAGCAGGGAACUAAAUUGCAGAAUCUGUUCAAGAAGAGGACCGGUGGCAUCAUGAGGGUGAUGUCUUGACUUUCGAGUGAAUUGGAUGUAAGUGAGGCAGAAUUGCACAAAGUCAUUGGCCUCCGUCUCUCUUCCAGAGUCAUAGAAGUCCUGUAGAAAAGCAAAAGUCAGGAUGGUGGGUGAUGGUCUAGAAUGCAGUGGAUGACCUUAGAAUCUUGGAUGUCUGUCUAAGCUCGAGGGGGCUUGACAUUGACUGCUUCAGCCACUUCCUUGACUGUCGGAGCCAAUUGUUCUCAUCUGCCUUUCUUCCAAGAGAAGUCUUCGAAUGCUUGGGAUGGACGUUCUCUUAGCUCACUAAUGGGAUUUUGUAGCCUGCCUACUUGAGAGGAUUUUACCUGGAUAUGGCUGUUGGGCACAUUAUAGCUUCUUGGAGCCACAGUAGACAAACCAGAUUCUCUGGGGCAAGUAAAUGCAUGCACAGUUUGUACUUCAGAUUAAAAGUGUCUUCCUCAAAACAGUAUCUGAGAAGUUGGAAAAGACAAAUUGGAAGAAAUCCAGAGAAAAGGAACAGAAGAGGUGAACUGUUAUGAGUAUAAAAUACAAUAAUAUUUGAAAAGUAUUUUAAAGUCUUAAAAUACUAUAUAAAAUCUAAAUAUUAUAAUUAUAAUUAGAGUUAUUACUAAGACUUCAGAUAUGACCUGCCUAGGGCAGA
rnacentral:lncRNA from 1 species